UUACGCUGCUGAGGGAUUCAAAGUAUCCAGUAAUAGCUUUGGUCAGCCUGUUGGAUCAGAAGCUCGCCUUUUAGCAGGAUACUUGGGCAUUCUAGCACGAAAUGCAAAUAUGUUGCCAAUUAACUUCGAGUCAUGGCAUAAAAUGCCCGAGAGUAACAAGAACCAAGCUCUCGAUAACAUUAAGGCGAGAUUUGCUCUAGAGGUCUCUGAUGCUUAUGUAAAGAAGGCAUUGGGAAAAAGAUGGAGAGACCAUAAGAGCACUUUAAAGAAAGACUAUUUUAAGACAAAAACAACACUCGACGAGAAAUUACAAAAUGUCCCGCCGGGAAUGCUGAGGUACCAGUGGGAAGAGGUCGUUAGAUUUUGGACUUCGAAGAAAUGAGAGGUAUGUGUUACUACAAAAAUCUUGUAAUUAUUUUGGUUUAUUGUAUUUACUAUUGACGUACUAAUAAUUUCAUAACGUAGGAUCGUGAACGAGUUGGAAAAAGUAGUAGGCAGAAACAAAAAUUCACUCACACAGCUGGGUCGAAAAGUUUUGCUUCUGUAGCUCAGGCCGAGGAACUAUCAUCUGGUCAAAAAGUUGGACGCCUUCAACUUUUUGACAUUACACAUAGGAAGAAAGAUGGAUCUCCUAUGACUCCUGAAGCUGCAGAAAUUACGG